rnacentral:tRNA from 1 species
GCCGAGAUACCGAAGUAGCCAAACGGGGCAGUCUGUAAAACUGCUGGCGCAAGCCUUCGUAGGUGCAAAUCCUACUCUCGGCACCC